rnacentral:misc_RNA from 1 species
GAUGAAGAACGUAGCGAAAUGCGAUACGUAAUGUGAAUUGCAGAAUUCAGUGAAUCAUCGAGUCUUUGAACGCACAUUGCGCCCCCUGGUAUUCCGGGGGGCAUGCCUGUCCGAGCGUCAUUGCUGCCCUCAAGCACGGCUUGUGUGUUGGGCCUCCGUCCUCCUCCCGGGGGACGGGCCCGAAAGGCAGCGGCGGCACCGCGUCCGGUCCUCGAGCGUAUGGGGCUUAGUCACCCGCUCUUGUAGGCCCGGCCGGCGCUUGCCGACACAUCAAUCUUUUUUCCAGGUUGACCUCGGAUCAGGUAGGGAUACCCGCUGAACUUAAGCAUAUCAAUAAGCGGAGGA